rnacentral:rRNA from 1 species
CAUUCUAGGGGCUCUUUCCAGUACCCCUACUAUGUUACGACUUAUCUCACUUUGUAGGGAGAGCGACGGGCGAUGUGUACAUACCUCAGAGCUAAUAUCAUUUUGACUUACUAAAAUCACAAUUACUAUUAAAUCCACCUUUAAUUAUUUAUUUAAAAAUAAUAUCCGUUUUUAUAUAUUAAAUUGUAGCUCAUUCCACUCACAUUCAUAAACUACACCUUGACCUGAUAUAUUAUAUUUAAAUAUUUUUGGAUAACUAUUUAUUUUUUAAUGUUAUCUAAUAACGACGGUAUAUAAAUUGAUUACAAAAAUGUGUAAGAUUUUUCGCGGAUUAUCGAUUACUGAACAAGCUCCUCUAACCAGACUGAGGUACCGCCAAAUUCUUUGGGUUUCAAGACAAUAACUGUUUACUACCCUGGUUUAAGUUGUUUUAUUAAAGUAUAGCAGGGUAUCUAAUCCUGGUUUAUAUCUUAAAUUUUUAGAUUUCUUAAACAUUGGUUUGUAUAAAAGCGAUAUUUUAGUUAUUUAUUUCACCCACACCUAAUAUCUCAUUUUUAUUUCAACAACUGUUAUAAUAAUCUUUUUUAACCAAAUUUUGUUCACUUAACCUCACAGUAUAACCGCGGCGGCUGGCACAAUUUUAGCCAGGUUUAAUAUGGUUUUCUAGUUCUAGUUUCCACUAAUAAACUAAUAUUAUGUGCUGAGAAUUUAAAAAUUAUAACAAAAUUUUACUUUUAACAUUGUUUUCUUCUAGAAAACACAAAAAUUGUCUUACUUAUAUUUACAUGCACUUAGACCAAAAAGAAAACAAAUAGCUAGAGUCAAACUUUUG